UACAGGGGGUGCGAGCGUUGUUCGGAAUUACUGGGCGUAAAGGGCGCGUAGGCGGCUUGGUAAGUCAGAUGUGAAAGCCCGGGGCUUAACCCCGGAAGUGCAUUUGAAACUGCUAGGCUUGAGUACAGUAGAGGUUGGUGGAAUUCCCAGUGUAGAGGUGAAAUUCGUAGAUAUUGGGAGGAACACCAGUGGCGAAGGCGGCCAACUGGGCUGUAACUGACGCUGAGGCGCGAAAGCGUGGGUAGCAAACAGG
rnacentral:rRNA from 1 species